ensembl:lncRNA
AAAAAGGCAAACCCAUUUUAUAAUCAGACUCAAUUCAUUGCUUUCCCUAGAGUAUUCUCGAUUUACCUGAUGGUCAUGCACAAGUCAGAUUAUGGCAGAAGCUGGAGUUUGGUCGCAGCAAAGACAACGAAUUCAGCUGGAUUGUCUGUUUUUCACGAAGCACCACCAACACUGUGUAGUAGGAUGGGAAACGGGGUUCAAGGAAGUCACGCGGGGCAGACGCAGCACCUUCGGGGCCACGUCUCCAAGCUUCCGGUUCCCCGCUGUGGUGACCAGAAAUGGCGGCUCCAGCGGUUCCUGAGCUCUGUCCUCUCUGUCCCCCUGUGCUUCGCUCAUUAAGUCCUUACGGAACGUAUUCGCAGUUCUCAGCCCUACCUUACCG